rnacentral:rRNA from 1 species
UGCAGUCGAGGGGUAGAAGGAGCUUGCUCCUUUGAGACCGGCGCACGGGUGCGUAACGCGUAUGCAAUCUACCUUUUACAGCGGGAUAGCCCAGAGAAAUUUGGAUUAAUACCUCAUAGUAUAUUAGAAUGGCAUCAUUUUAAUAUUAAAGUCACAACGGUAAAAGAUGAGCAUGCGUCCCAUUAGUUAGUUGGUAAGGUAACGGCUUACCAAGACGAUGAUGGGUAGGGGUCCUGAGAGGGAGAUCCCCCACACUGGUACUGAGACACGGACCAGACUCCUACGGGAGGCAGCAGUGAGGAAUAUUGGGCAAUGGAGGCAACUCUGACCCAGCCAUGCCGCGUGCAGGAAGACGGUCCUAUGGAUUGUAAACUGCUUUUAUACGGGAAGAAACACCCCCUCGUGAGGGGGCUUGACGGUACCGUAAGAAUAAGGAUCGGCUAACUCCGUGCCAGCAGCCGCGGUAAUACGGAGGAUCCAAGCGUUAUCCGGAAUCAUUGGGUUUAAAGGGUCCGUAGGCGGCCUUAUAAGUCAGUGGUGAAAUCUCCCAGCUCAACUGGGAAACUGCCAUUGAUACUGUAGGGC